rnacentral:tRNA from 1 species
UCCCAUAUUGUCUAGUGGUUAGGAUACCUUACUCUCACCCAGGAGGCCCGGGUUCAAUUCCCGGUAUGGGAA